UCAAUCCGCCUAAUCACGGAUGGCCCGAUGUUAGACCCCCGCCGCCUCCACGCCGCGCACCGGCGCCGCCUCCGCGACGCGCACCGGUCGCCGCAGUCGGCCCUCCUCGCCGCGGACCGGCCGCCGCCUCCGCGCCACGCACCGGCCCUGCCGUCGUGGGGGCUUCCUCGGUCGGCUCCCUCCUCUCCGCGACUUCCCCGCCGUCGCGUCGUCGCCCUCUGCCCCGCCUGGUGGCUCGCUCUGCGUUGGAGGCUAGGGCCCCGCUAGGACAGCGUCACUGGAGGUCGCGCCGCCGCUUGUUGUCCCCGGCGAUCCGCUAGGGCACUGCGGUUCGGCGUCUUCCGCCACGACGACUGGAUCGGCCUCCCCUUGGGAUCCAAGGUCUUCAGCGCCUACAGCGGCGGAGGCAGGGAUGGAGGGGGCAGGGGGGGGGGGGGGCUGGCGACCGGAUCCCGUGGCGCCGAUGGUGUCGACGCUGGCCAAGUACAAGCUGGUGUUCCUGAGCGACCAGGCCGUGGGCAAGGCGGCCAUCAUCACCCGAUUCAUGUACUACAAGUUCGAUGACACCUACCAGGCGACGAUCGGUAUCGACUUCCUCUCCAAGAUGAUGUGCCUCGAGGAUCGCACCAUCCGCCUCCAGCUCUGGGACACAGCUGGGCAGGAGAGGUUCCGCAGCCUGAUCCCGAGCUACAUCAGAGACUCCUCCGUGGCCGUCAUCGUUUACGAUGUGACUGACAGGCAAUCCUUUUUGAAUACGUCAAAGUGGAUUGAGGAAGUGAAUACACAAAGAGGCGCCCAUGUGCUCAUCUUCCAUUCUUCCUUGUCGGAAAUAAAACUGACCUUGUCGACAAGAGGAAAGUGUCCACUGACGAAGGAGAAGCCAAAGCACAUGAGCAUGGCGCCAUGUUCAUAGAAACCAGUGCAAAAGCUGGGUUCAACAUCAAGCCUUUGUUCCGCAAGAUUGCUGGAUACCUUCCUGGAAUAGACGCCCUCUCGUCAGCAAAGCAGGAAGACAUGGUGGACAUAAACCUCAGGCCUUCCACCGGGUCGCCAGCUUCAGGCGCAGCUUCGCAGGCGGAGCAAAAAUCAGAUAAAUCCUCUUGCGAGACAUCUGACAACAAGCUUGUUGUUGCUGACGCAAAGUUGAACUUUGAUGAUAAUGCUGCAUUUGUACAGAAAUAAAUAUAUGCACAGCGAGAUACAACACAAGAAGACCCCAGGGAGGAUUGGCCAUGGCUACCAUGGAUAUUGUCAAGUUGCAUGGUGAUACAGAUGCCAAUUUCGUUGAUGUUGGUGGAAGUGCAUCACAGGGUCAGGUUGUGGAAGCAUUUAAGAUCCUGCCUGGCACCCCGACCUAAGCGUGGAAUGUGGUGUCUAAAGCAACAGCGGCAGAUUCUGGUGCGGUCAUGAAGUUUGAUUUCCACCAGGAUGAGAUGCUGACUGCAUCCUAUUUAUGCACAAAUUGGAUAGCUGCUCGGACAACAACCUUGGCUGUGCAUAUUAGUGUGCUCUUUCAUGUGCAAAGUGUUCAAUCUAUUGCCUCUUUGGCUGUGCAUAUUAGUGUGCUCUUUCAUGUGCAAUAUUCACUUGCUCUUGUUUGCAGGAUUGGUUCAACCAUGGUAGAGAUGCCACUUCCAUCCUCAAGGUCAUGGCCGACUCUUGCGCAAUGAGGAAACAUUUUUUUUUCCAAAAAGAAGCUCAUCCUUCCAUUCCAAAGGAAAUAGAAGAAUUAAUCUGCCGAUCAAUAACAGUAGGAGAAUUAAAAUUGUGUUGCCUCAUAUUUUGUUCCCCUGAGGGUCUGAGAAGACUUUAUGCAGUCUUUUAUCCUGCAGUUCUUGGAUCAACUGUAUUAUUUCCUUUAUUUGAACAAUUGUGGCAUGGUGUGGCGUGUUUAAUGUGUUCUUUCCCUAAUUAAACUCAGUUAUAACAAAGCUAAACAAAUAUUACUUAGAGGAAGGAUGACCAGCUUUAUCCGGUCCAACAUCUCAUCUCAGCUACAGAAUGCCAUAUGGCUGGUGAAGACGACUGCAACUACAAACACCUAAACAUCAGACUUCAGGAUAUUCUGAGUUUUCUGGUGGAUGUUCCAAUCAAGUACUUAAACUUCUUCCUUCAAGAUGAUGACGAGCUUGAGCACAUAAAGAAGGAGUACAAGGAAGGAAGGAUGUUGACUGAUGAAGUGAAGCAACGACUCAUCGCAGUUCUAUCUGAGCUGGUUGCUAGGCAUCAAAGAGCUAGAGCUCAAGUGACCGAUGAGGACCGCAUCAAAGAGCUAGAGCUCAAGUGACCGAAGUUUGUUGCCCUAUUAUAGUUAUUUCUUUAGUGAGGACCGCAUCAAGAAUUAGCUAGCAACCAGACACUGCCCUUCGCUGUGGGUUCAAUGCUAUUGUAAUUAAUCUUGUCCAUCCUUUAUUUUUCUCUGGUCAUGCUGCAUAUUUGCAUCACAAACUCUUGAGUUUUACUUUUUAUUCCCAUAGGUUCCAAAAUCAGGAAUCUGACUACCAUUGUUUCUCAGAUCCUAUUAUGAACCAAACUGUCAUACUGUACUUGCAUUUCCUCAUCCCAAAUUAGGAACCAAGUUGAACAAGGUUUCUCUUCCAUCGAUCACUAAAGUACAUGGCAGUUUUGGCUUGUUUGA